rnacentral:rRNA from 1 species
UACGUAGGGGGCUAGCGUUGUCCGGAAUCACUGGGCUUAAAGCGCGUGUAGGCGGCCCGGCACGUCCGUCGCUGAAAGCCCCCGGCUCAACCGGGGAAGGGGCGCGGAUACGACCGGGCUGGAGGGGGGUAGGGGGCGCCGGAACUGCCGGUGGAGCGGUGAAAUGCGUUGAGAUCGGCAGGAACGCCCGUGGCGAAAGCGGGCGCCUGGACCCCACCUGACGCUGAGACGCGAAAGCCAGGGGAGCGAACGGG